rnacentral:lncRNA from 1 species
UUUGCUCGACGGAACCCAUCAAAUACGCUUGUUGUCUUCUUCAAUCACAAGCUCCAAAUGGUAAUCUCUCCUAUCUCAUCUUCCUUUCUUCUUUCAAUCUUUACUACAUCCUAAGGACGAAGACAUUUGUGGCCUUUGUCAUCAUCUGCAUUUCAAAUUGGGAAAAAUCGAAUUACAAAUCCGGAUGGAUUCCCACAUCUGAUUUAGACAUUACAUAAAAUGAGACUUUCCAUUGCUUCCUAAUGAUGAGUUUUAACAUACGAUAGAUACAAUAAAAUUUAAAUAACUAUCCCGGCACAAACAAAAAACACUAGGUGGUUCUUCCUUAUCACAGCCUUGAUAUCAGUUAUGCCAUGCAUGAAAGCUGAUCCGAACAUUACGAUUAUAAAAAAAAAAAUUAAGUAACAAUCAAAUAAAUAGUUGCACUUAACUAAUAACAAAAUACAAUACAGUAGGGAACAAGCAUCCAAACAAGCUGUAAGAGACUCUGAAGAUUUUCUUGUUCGAAAUCCAAUCGUAGUGUUAUUUCUGCUGACUCGGCAGUGAGAUUCAAAGCAUCCUCAACUCUCCCUCACUUCAGUUGGCUGCCUUCAUAAAGGUAAUAUUCUUCCCCCUUUCUAUUUUAAUUAUGUGCUAUUUAAAUUUCAGUAUUAGAAUAGUUUAAAUUUAUUAUUUGGGUAGCUGAAUUUCUUUUCCGUAUGAGUUAAUUGGUCUUUGGUUUUCGUUUGUUUUUCUUACUUCUAUUUCUUGUUUAAAUUCGGCAUUAUUCAAUUCAAUCUUUGUUAGUAAGCUUGGGUUAGCUGCCCGCAGGGGCAUGGUUGAGUGGUUGGGAGGUGGAUCUCCCAUGUGGGAGACCUGGGAUCGAAUCCAGCCCCCAUCUAUCACUCAUCCAUAGCUCAUCGCAUGGGGCUUGCCUAGUGCAGUUUACGUCGUAGUUUGUGAGCUAUUGCACAGUGAGCAAGUUACCACAAAGUGCUCACCCGAAUGGAAGAAGUUGUGGGUUUCCAGAAAAGAAAGAACUUGGGUUAGCUUUUUUAUUGGUAAAAAGCACAAGUAAAUCUCUUUAAUAGUCUUAAGGGCUUUCUCUUUGUCUUAUUUCCGUUUGUCCAGAAUCAUGAUUCGUUUUGUUUGUUUGCUAGUCUUCAGAUUUUGUGUGUUAAACAUGUCAACUUCCAGUAAUCCUUUCUUCCUUUUUUACAUCUUGUUGUCCAGUGGCGGAGCCAGGAUUUUCACCUAGGGGGUUCAGAAAUAAACAUAUGAACAAAUCGAAGGGGAUUCAACAUCUAUUAAAUACACAUAAAAAAUAAUUUUAACCUUAUAUAAAUAUAUAAAUGGUAUAAUUUUCCUCUAAAGGGCCCCUCGCCAAAGGGUAGCUCUGCCCCUGCUGUUUUCGUUCCUUAUUUUUCUUUAAAUUCAGAUUGGUAAAUAUGUGUUAAUUUCGACAUCAGUGAGUACAACCAUUUGUCAUAAAGGGUAGAACUCAAAUGCCUUGGUUUCUUUAGAAUUCUAAAGAUUCGUUGAGCAGGAAAUUUGUAUCUACCUUUUAGAAUGUAUUCCUUGGUUUCUUUUCUUAGUAGCAGAUUUAGAGGUCACUUAAAGUCUAAUUUGCUACAGGGUGGAUUUGUUUCUUUAGUUCAAAGAGGUUCCGAACAUGAAAUAUGUGUGUAUGCUGCAUGUCUAAGCUUAAAUGUUCUAUGAACUGAAUACAAACAGUGAACAUGCACUCUCUACGUCAUCUUACACUAAAAAAAAAAAUGUACCUCACAGCUAUUUACCUUAAACUGAACAGAAAAUUUUACUCUUGUAUUUUUUUUAUUUUUUUUUUAAAAAUCAAAUGUUGGAUGAUCUUUGGCAGCACAAAGCCAUUUUUCAACAUGCUGUGUUUUCAGUCCUUUUAUUGAUACUUUGAAGUUUUUCUUAAAUCUAGGUUUUCAACGGUUCUUCAAUCUUUCCUGUCCUUUCUUCCAAUGGCUUCUAGAUCUCACAGAGGAGGUGAUUUCUACAGUGCUGCUUCCUACAGAUGCAGGUAUUUACCCUCCAAGAAGAUUAUCGUCUUCUAAGUUACAAUUUGUUAUGGCCUAAUUGUUUUCACAAUUUGAAUUGUAAUACCAAAGUGUUAUGUAACAAAAAAAAUUAGCAAAAGUAUAACCUAAUUUGCAGACAAUUAACCAAUCUACACCUUUUUGAAUUUUUUUGGUUUAUUUUUGAGAAACGAAGAUGUUUAUUUGUUUGAUUUAUCAGUGAUGGAUUGAGUACGAGGCAAGUAGGUGGUUCAGAUGAAAUACAGUUGCGGAUUGAUCCGAUGCACGGAGACCUAGAUGACGAGAUCACAGGUCUUCGCAAGCAAGUAAAACAACUCAGAAAUGUAUGUUUUCGUAACCACGUUGUUUUGGUUUUGUAUUUUGAGUUAAUUGGAAAAUAGCUUUUGCGCUACUAUCUAAUGUAUCUGUAGUUCGAUUGUAGUGUUAUUUCAUUGUAGUAUUGUUCUUCUACUAUCUGUUGAUUUUGUUCCUAUCUAUUGUCUCUAACGUCUUUUUCCAGAUUGAUUUUGUCUUGGGCCGGGGGUCUAUUGGAAACAACCUCUCUACCUCACCUCUAAGGUAGUGGUAAGGUCUUCGUACACUCUACCCUUCACAGUCCCCACAUUGUGGGGCUACAAUGGGUAUGAUGUUGUUGUUGGAAAAUAGAUUUAGCAUAACUGGCGGCAUCUUUAAGAUUUAUGUAUGUUUUAAACUCGGUGAUGUGCUGUGUCAUGGAUCCAUUUUAAACAAGGUGAUGUGUUAUAUGUUAGCACACUGAGUAAUAUUUAUUAGAAAACCAGUAUGAAACUGUGCUUAGAUGCACUUAAACACGCUUCUUUAAGACUGUUGAAGUCUCUCCCACGGGCAAAUAGAAGUUUAUUUUUCCUCAUUAUAUUAAAGACUGAUACUGUCACAAUGCAAUUUAGUGCAUCUUUUUUGAUUCAUUUAUAUCACAAGACAGAAUACCUAGUUAAGGAAGCAAUAAGUCUUAAAUUUGUCUUUCAUAUUUAUUUUAUGAAAUGGAAUCUUGAAGAUAUAUUGAAGAUGGGAUUUAACAAAACAAAAAUGUCCUAAUAUCAAUAUUCUGCCUUUGUAUAAUGAACCAAAUGUUGGUGAUAUGCGGUGGGUUCUCUUUUAACUGGCUAAGCAAUUGAUGGAGAGUGGGGAAUGGAAACAAAGAUUUAUUUGUUACCUUUUAUUGAUCAAAUUGUACUGGAUAAGAAAAAUGUUCAUUCACUUGUUGACUUUUACAUUUCCACUGGUAAGACUGCCUAUCAACGCUCAGCUGUCAAGAUAUUCUGGUUCCCCUGGCCCUGAGGUAUACUUUGCAUAAAAUCACACUGUGUUAGAACUUAAAAGCAUGGGUUUAAGUAUUUUUCGUCACUACGUUGGUUUCAAUAAAAUCAAUUGCUAGACUUAAAAGACAUCAAGUUUGACUGCCUAUGGAGCAAGUACCGCCUUAUUCCUGGUCAACAAUCUAGAAUCAAGCCUGUGUUUUCAUAAUAAAUUUUGCCUAGCUUUGAAUCCCAUGACUCCUUGUUUUAGUGGUUAGAUGUGUCUACCUUUAUUUCUGGUAUGGCCUGUAUUGAUGCUCUAUCAUGCUGACAUACUUCAAUCCGGUCUUUGAGGUGGAUGCUAGAGAGAUAUCACCGCUUAUAUCUAGGUUCUAAAUCCAUCGUUGUGAAAUCUGAAAGUUGGUGGACAGGUGUCAUGUUGUGUAUAUAGUUCAUUCAUGACUGGAUCGGAGAGAGGUUGUCAUUCUAUAGCCUAUUUGUGUCUCCAUAACAGGAAACCUAUAAUCACAAGACUAAAUCCCUUUUCUGGUCUAAAUCAACUUGGCCAAAAUAAUACUGAUUUCUGAAUUUGGGCUCAGCUUGGGGUUAUAUCUUCCACAUUUCCACCUCUACAUUGAUUUAAUACAACUUUCCAUUUGUCUAGUCCACUGCCAACCUGUUCUUCUUCAUCUCCCUGUUAUCUAUUCUAGUGUGUACAUUGAUUGCUGGACCACACUAACAACGAAGAGCUGCAAAUGGUACCAAAAAGAUAUUGCAAGUGCUUCAAUUUUUCUAUCUCCAGUUCAAGUUGGAUCGGACAUGCGCUUCACUGUUGCAAUCCCAAGGUUUAGGUAGUAAGAAAGAUCACUUUUUGAGCUGAUACUCGAAGAUGGUGGAAGAAAAUUUAACCAUCUGAUUGUCAUCGCAUAUUCGGAUAGAACAAAGACUAUCAUCUCUCGACCUCCUGUCCAUAUUUUGGUUUCUAGUACUUGCAUUGGUUGUUGGCCUCCACAUGCGUCAGAAGCAUAGGUGUGUCAGUUGCAAUAGUUUCACUGAAAUUUCAAACAGGACUAAAGUUUUGUAUUUCUAAUUAAACUUUGUUUCGUAUUUCUGACUGAACAUUGCUUUGGGUGCAAGUCCGGUAGGAGUUCCUGACAAUCUUUAUACCAUAUGUUAUUAUUAGAUGCAUCUUUCCAAUCUCUCAGUUUUUGGCCCUACUUGUUAUAUCAUAUUUGUCAUGGCUUCAGAUUCCUAUUCCUAGUUACCCUUUUUUACUCAAAUAUUUCAUGUUGCAGGUAGCACAAGAAAUUGAGUCGGAAGCAAAGUAUCAGAAUGAUUUUAUUAACCAACUGGUAUGCCGUGAACUUGUUCUCCCGCUUUCCCUGUGUGUUUGACAUCCUUUAAAACCCCUUUUGUUACUUCUCCGUAUAUCUCAUAUGCUCUAACAAUUAAAGUUUUGUAUAUUAGAACUUCAUUGGUAUUUAUUUUCUAAUUACUGGAUAACAAUCUAACAUGCACCAAUAAUUAAGGAGAUAGGGGAAAAUGAAUUAUAUUUAAUUUCAUAGUGAGUAAAAGUUUCCAAUUGCUAACCUUUAUUUACAGCCCUCAGAACAAUCCUCUCUGUCGUUCACCCUCGCUUUCUCUAUAAUCUGGAAAUUGCAGUUGUUAUUACUAUAAAUCUUUUAGAAAUGACAGUGUACUUGUAAACUUCCUUUGCCUUACCUCAGAUAUUACCAUGCAAGCUUGCCUGAAUGCCUUUGUUUCUCUAUGCUUUCUCAAGUUCUUAGAAGAUAUGUUCUUGUUAGAUCGUCUUCAUCUGACUGUGAAUAGCCCAAACUUGAUUGUACUUUCCCUUAUUCUUGAGGGUAACGUGUGCAGUGAUGCUGGACAAUAAACUCUGAUUCUAGAUCUGAUGCUGUAUUUCUAGGAGCCACCCUUCUAGUAUAACUUAGUUGGACAUGCAAUUUCAUGUCUGUGAUAUGAAAUCA